CAGUCGCCGCGGGAAAACGUAGGGCGCAAGCGUUAUCCGGAAUUAUUGGGCGUAAAGAGCUCGUAGGCGGUUUGUCGCGUCUGCCGUGAAAGUCCGGGGCUCAACCCCGGAUCUGCGGUGGGUACGGGCAGACUAGAGUGAUGUAGGGGAGACUGGAAUUCCUGGUGUAGCGGUGAAAUGCGCAGAUAUCAGGAGGAACACCGAUGGCGAAGGCAGGUCUCUGGGCAUUAACUGACGCUGAGGAGCGAAAGCAUGGGGAGCGAACAGGAUUAGAUACCCGAGUAGUCCCUGUCUCUUAUAC
rnacentral:rRNA from 1 species